rnacentral:rRNA from 1 species
GAGGGGUAACAGGAUUUAGUUUACUAGAUUGCUGACGACCGGCGCACGGGUGAGUAACGCGUAUACAAUUUGCCUUUUACUGAAGAAUAGCCCAGAGAAAUUUGGAUUAAUGCUUCAUAGUAUUAUUUGGUCACCUGGCCGAGUAAUUAAAGCUCCGGCGGUAAAAGAUGAGUAUGCGUCCUAUUAGCUAGAUGGUAAGGUAACGGCUUACCAUGGCGACGAUAGGUAGGGGUCCUGAGAGGGAGAUCCCCCACACUGGUACUGAGACACGGACCAGACUCCUACGGGAGGCAGCAGUGAGGAAUAUUGGGCAAUGGAGGCAACUCUGACCCAGCCAUGCCGCGUGCAGGAAGACGGCCCUAUGGGUUGUAAACUGCUUUUAUACAGGAAGAAACUUAUCCACGUGUGGAUAACUGACGGUACUGUAAGAAUAAGGACCGGCUAACUCCGUGCCAGCAGCCGCGGUAAUACGGAGGGUCCAAGCGUUAUCCGGAAUCAUUGGGUUUAAAGGGUCCGUAGGCGGGCAAUUAAGUCAGAGGUGAAAUCCCACAGCUCAACUGUGGAACUGCCUUUGAUACUGGUUGUCUUGAGUUACAGUGAAGUAGAUAGAAUAUGUAGUGUAGCGGUGAAAUGCAUAGAUAUUACAUAGAAUACCGAUUGCGAAGGCAGUCUACUAACUGUAUACUGACGCUAAUGGACGAAAGCGUGGGGAGCGAACAGGAUUAGAUACCCUGGUAGUCCACGCCGUAAACGAUGGUCACUAGUUGUUGGGGUCUUGUACCUCAGUGAUUAAGAGAAAUUGAUA